AGUGAACGCUGGCGGCAGGCCUAACACAUGCAAGUCGAACGGAAGCACAGUAAGAGCUCGCUCUUACGGGUGGCGACUGGCGGACGGGUGAGGAAUACAUCGGAAUCCACUUUUUCGGGGGGGAUAACGUAGGGAAACUUACGCUAAUACCGCAUAUGACCUACGGGUGAAAGCAGGGGAUCUUCGGACUUUUCGCGAUCCUAUGAGCUGAUGUCGGAUUAGCUAGUUGGCGGGGUAAAGGCCCACCAAGGCGACGAUCCGUAGCUGGUCUGAGAGGAUGAUCAGCCACACUGGAACUGAGACACGGUCCAGACUCCUACGGGAGGCAGCAGUAGGGAAUAUUGGACAAUGGGCGAAAGCCUGAUCCAGCCAUGCCGCGUGAGUGAAGAAGGGCUUCGGAUUGUAAAACCCUUUUAUUGGGGAAGAAAAGCAGCAGGUUAAUACCUCGCUGUUCUGACGGUACCCAAAGAAUAAGCACCGGCUAACUUCGUG
rnacentral:rRNA from 1 species